rnacentral:lncRNA from 1 species
AUCAAAUUAUAAAUAGAGGUCAUUCAUCCUCUCAAUCCUAUCAAUCUUUCUUUUUAUAGCUCCAAUCAAAUAUAGGGUUAAAGUGAGCAAUGGAUGAUCUAACGGUGGAUUUGAGCGAACGAAGGUGAAUCAUUCUUUUGCACCAAGGAUAUUGCAUUGAUGAAGAAGCUACCAAUAGAAGCAAGGGGUGGCAAAAUCCAAAAAUUAAUCCUCCAAUAAUUUAAAAAAAAAGGAAAAAAAAUAAUCCGACUAAGCAAAAUAUCCUGCCCGAACUUUAUCCAACCCUGUAAUGAAUCCAACGAUCUAAGCUCAAACAUGACCUAAUUCCAGAACUUCUUCAUCUGAACACGAUAAAGGCCAUGUCAGGUUCAUCCAGGCAAGGUUAAUUUAGGCG